rnacentral:rRNA from 1 species
UACGGGGGGGGCAAGCGUUGUUCGGAAUUACUGGGCGUAAAGGGCGCGUAGGCGGCCCGCUUAGUCGGACGUGAAAUCCCUCGGCUCAACCGAGGAACUGCGUCCGAUACUGGCGGGCUCGAAUCCGGGAGAGGGAUGUGGAAUUCCAGGUGUAGCGGUGAAAUGCGUAGAUAUCGGGAGGAACAUCAGUGGCGAAGGCGGCUACCUGGCCCAAUACUGACACUCAGGUGCGACAGCGUGGGGAGCAAACAGG